CAGGUUCCGUGGUGCCUUGCGCGGUCCUGGGCUGAGCUCCUCCAGAGGGAGGUCAGAGCGAGGGGAGCUCGGCUGGGUUGUGAGCGCUGUGCCCCGGCCUGGCCUGGGGAAGAGGGAAGGACAUGAGCGUACGGCCUGAGUGUGGAGAGGAGCGCACUUUGACACCCCCGGGGACACCAUGACCUCCAAGGGUAAGAAAUGGGACUUCAAUGCCGCAGCCAAUGACUAUGAUCAGAUGCGGCAGCCAAAUGCGGGCGGCCCAGCGCAAAACUUUAACGACCCUCGAAGUUACAAACCCCCGGACACUAUACGAUCCAUGAGACCCGCGCUGCAGCGGCAAGAUGAUAUACAAG